GGAGUGAGGUCCGCCGCUCGGCGCCGUAGCUGACGGUCAGAAGGGAGCUGUCGCGGCUACCGCCGCCCGCCUCCGGCCUGCUGCGCCGCGUGGGGCAGUGGCCUUGACUGCAGGCAAGAUGGGGUCCAUGCAAGCUCGCUUCAGCCGCGCUGCGCCGCACGGGGCUGUAUCCUUGGCCGGUGGGAAGACGGGGGCCGUCGCGGCUAGCUCCGCCCGCCUCCGGCGCAUCCAAGGCUGUGGCCGACCCGCUCCCUCGUAGAAGGUGGAACCACUGCGCGGGCACCCAGUCGGCGGGCCCGGCCGUGGCCGGUGGCGAGAUGCCGCCGGAGGUCGUUGGGUCACACUUGAAGAAGGCGUGAGCUCGAUGCAUCUCAACAGGCAAAGGUGAUUCUAGUUGCUUGCUUCUAUCUACGUGUACUAGCUAACCAGCUCUCACUUAUCCACGUAUAUAUUGACAUAUGCACGUACUGAAAUUGGAAGUAUACGAGCUAUCCAGCUUCAUCUAUACAUCUUCUCUGCUUUUUUUUUGCAGGGGCAUCUUCUCUGCUUUUUAAUCACACAAAGUGUAGGUGAAAUCACAAAUUGGCGAAAAAUCCUUUCAAAUUCAGUGUCCAAGACCACAUUUAACUGGAAAGCUAAACCGUGAAAAAAUUACCAGCAACUAAUCAAUAUCUUUCUUGACGGUAGAACAGUUACACAUCUAACAUCAAAAGGAAUAGUAAGGUGAAUUACUACAUCUCAAGGGGAAGUAUUACAUCUGAGGGUAAUUGUUUGGUAGAGCAAUCCUCAGAAGCAAAGUUUAUAUAGAGCUAUUCAAAAGUGCUUCUCUUGUGCAUGACUUGAUUGGUUACCCAAGUCUUGAAAAUAUAAAGGAACUAUUUUGUAUGAGAAAUAAAGUUGAAUUUGAGAGUACGACUUGUAAGUGAAACAAUACCUUAGUGGGCAGCUGAUCAUUUUGAUUUGUUGGCCAUCCCGAGCCCGGUAACACAACAAAACUCUACAUUGUUAAUCCAAAAGUUAAUGCAAGUGAAUGACCAGUAGAACUCUACAUUUUGAUUUCUUGGCCAUCCCGAGCCCGGUAACACAACAGAACUCUACCUCGGUGAUUCUUCAGAGCGAAACAAAUGCACUGGAAAGAUGGAGCAGUCGCCGACGCAGUCGGCCGAGUCCACCGGUAAGGAGAACCCGGAGGCACCGGGAUGGACAAGAAGGUAUACGUGCAAUCAUUAUUGUUAUUAAUUGCAAAUUAGUAUGAAAGAAAUAUUGCCCAAUGGCAUUCGUACUGAAGGCACCUAAAAAUUGUUGCCCAUUGUGCGAAAUUAACCUGUAUAGCCUAUCAUGGCAUUCGAUGAGCUAAGAACAAAAAAGAAGUCUUGCCCAUCGCCUGUUGGCAUUGUACAUAAGUUUAAGGCAUCUGAAAAAACAGUGCAUUUUAAUUUCAGGUUACGAAUUGGGCGUGCCCCUCCGGAUAGAGGACCCUGUGCUGGUAGAGUCACUCAUUUAGAGGAAACAAUAAGGAGAUACGCUGAUAAACAGUCGGACAAUGUAAUAAAGCCAAAGAUUGGUAUGAGUUUUGAUUCCUUUGGAGAAGCGUACGAUUUCUAUAACUUGUAUUCUUGGGAGGUUGGAUUUGGUAUAAGAUAUGGCAAGAGUCGUUUGAACGUCGAGCGGACAAAGUGUUUGCAAGAGAUCGUCUGUGGAUGCUCGGGGAAACCAGAGCAACAGAAUAGCCGGUCUUGCCGCUGCGAGUGCCCUGCGAUGACACAGGAGGCAAGAGAAAGGAGUCCUUGACUCAGUCCGUGGAAUCUUCCGGGAAAGUGAACCCAGAGGCACCAGGAUGGACUAAGAGGUUGAGAGUUGGCCGUGCACCCGCUGAUAGACACCGUGCAUUGGCAGAGUUACUCCAUUGGAAGAAACAAUCAGGAGGUACGCUGAUAAGCCAUCGGACAAUGUGGUCAAGCCAGAAACUGGAAUGAGUUUUGACUCUCGGGGAACAUAUGAUUUCUACAAUCUUUAUUCAUGGGAGCUCGGAUUUGGUAUAAGAUAUGGCAAGAGCGGUCUGAAUGUCGAGCUGACGAAGGGUAUGCAAGAAAUUGUGUGUGGAUGCUUGGGGAAGCCUGAGCAGCAAAACAGCCGGUCUUGCCGGUGCAAAUGCCCUGCAAUGUUUUCGAGGAUGGGGCUUACUAGGUCGAGGAAAUUGAAAGGAAGAAGUACAUUGCAAGACACAACAAUGUCGACAACUGUGGGAAGUGGAGCAAGGUUGUUUAUGAGGUGACCAUGUUGGACGAUGGCGAGUGGUUCGAGUGUGAAUGCGGGCAUUUCACCCACAUGGGAAUGCUGUGCUGCCAUGCUUUCAAGGUGAUAGAUUAUGUUGGCGGGACGCAGAUAUCGAAGCGGCACAUCCUCAAGAGAUGGAGGGAAAAUGCUAGGGACAUCCUGGCCCAGCACCUUGCUCACUUCCAAAGAGAUCAAGCCGUGAACCAAUCUUUCAUCUGUCGGAGCUCGACCCUUUACCUAGAUGCCAUGCAUGGAGCUGGUUAGGUUUGGGGAUUAAUCCGUCGUGACGUAUGCGCUCGUGCUGGGUCAGAUAAAGGAUAUAAGUGUGGAGGCAUCACCGCUAGCUGAAAGCCCGAAACAAGAGAUGUGCUUGACUAUGAGGAGAGACAAGUUGUUGAGGCGAAUCGCAACCACAUUGCAUUGGCGGGCACAAAUGUCAACAUUGAGGGAGAGAUGAUUGACAACGAGAACAGUGUGACCCUUUCCGGUAACUGGGAUGCACUUGCUGACUGUCGGCUCCGAGCAACAAACCUGGUUCCCAUGCUCAAGUAGGGAGAAGGCAUCAUAUGAAUGACUGAGUAAAAGGACAAGGUUCUACAGCAUCUUCAAACUGCUAGGUCAUAAGAAGACUACCUGCCCUGAGGGAGGUGACAUGCUAAACGGCCCCGCAAACCUGAAAGCUGCAAGAAUUGUGGCAUCGCUGGACACCGUCGCACUAUGUGCACCAUGCUGCUGGGUGCUGCUGCAUCUUAAGAGUUCCGACAGUCAUGUAC